rnacentral:rRNA from 1 species
UUCUGGUUGAUCCUGCCGGAGGCUACCGCUAUUGGAGUUCGAUUAAGCCAUGCGAGUCGAGAGUCUUAGGGACUCGGCGUACCGCUCAGUAACACGUGGGUAACCUGCCCUAUGCUGGGGAAUAACCUCGGGAAACUGAGAAUAAUACCCCAUAGUUCACCACGCCUGGAACGGUGGGUGGAUGAAAGCUCCGGCGGCAUAGGAUGGGCCUGCGACGUAUCAGGUUGUAGGGGGUGUAACGUACCCUCUAGCCAUCAACGCGUACGGGUGUUGGGAGACAUAGCCCGGAGAUGGAUUCUGAGACACGAAUCCAGACCCUACGGGGUGCAGCAGGCGCGAAAACUUGGCAAUGCGAGCAAUCGUGACCAGGGAACUCCAAGUGGCUGGGGUAAUACCCAGUUUUUUCUUGACUCUUCAAAGGUCUUGGAAUAAGGGGUGGGUAAGGACGGUGCCAGCCGCCGCGGUAAUACCGGCGCCUCAAGUGGUAGUCGCUUUUAUUGGGCCUAAAACGUCCGUAGCCGGUCUGGUGCAUUCGUGGGUAAAUCAACCCGCUCAACGGGUUGAAUUCUGCGAGCACGGCCAGACUUGGGACCGGGAGAGGUGUGGGGUACUCUCAGGGUAGGGGUAAAAUCCUGUCAUCCUGAGAGGACCACCUGUUGCGAAGGCGCCACACUAGAACGGAUUCGACGGUCAGGGACG